rnacentral:lncRNA from 1 species
GUUUGAUCUUUUCCAAAACGGCUUGGUAACUGGCCAAUUGGUCAGAUUCAGUUGUGGUCUUGGCUCCAUUUCUAGUGCCAUAGCUGUCCUUAACAAGCUUUUGUUUCUAUUGUGUUCACAGGAGCUCCAGAUCCAUACAUCAGGAUAGUUAAUGUCACAGAGGACGGAGCUCUGUUGCUGUGUGAGGUUCAACAUGGUUCUCCUAAACCUAAAGUAGAGUGGAAGGACAGUGCUGGAAACAUCCUUCCUGCUGAGGAGCCACAGGUCUCAGACAGAGGAGGACGUUACUACGUUACCCUCCUCACCACUGUGACCAAGACCGACCACUACCGCUGUGUAGUCACACAGGAGGAAAUCCACCAUCAGACUCAUUCUGAGACCUACGUGUUCAUCAAUGAGAAACUGUGUGAGGAAUCAUCCAGCAAAGAGCUCAUUGGAGGGUUGUUUGGUGGAUUGGUUUUAGGAGUUUUAACUGUUUCUGCAGUUCAGGCUUUGGUUUGCAUCAUCAUAAUACGUCGUAUUAAAGGUAAGUUUAUAUAAUGUAUCAACAUAUCCAUAAUGUGCAGACAUCAACAUAACAGAUCCACUGAGACUAUCAGGUCCAGAGACUUUGACAGUUUGUUUUUAUCUUCUCAGAUAUGAACCAUUCUGUUGGUAUUUACAUGAGGCCUCUGGUUCUAAUACUGAUUGAUUCACUUAAACAAAGAGAACAGGGUGCUAAGAUAGCUCACUUGUUAAAGCUGGUCCCCCAUGUACCAAGGUUGAGUCCUUGCUGCAGUGGCCCAGGGUUCAAAGCCCUGUCUUAUUAAUUUACUUUAAAUAAGCAACAAAGAGCUUUUCUCUAAAUGCCAUAAUGCUGAGAAUACUUGUACACUCUAAAUUUAAGUGCGGCUGAUUUGACCACGGGGAUCGGACUCACGAUUGACCGCAGUCUACUAGCCUACUGUUUCUUCUACACAGCACCGUCCUGUUAAUGACAACAUCCGGUCUCAGAAUAUGAAACAACAGGCCUUUUUUCUGUUUCUGUUUUCUAGUGAUUUUAUUUUUUUGUUAUAUGAAAUAGAAAAUGAAAAUCGAAUCAUUUUUUAAAUUUCGCUCAUCCCUUUCUGACCAUGAAAAAGAAAAUCGCCUUGUAUUUCAAUUUUAAUUUUUGUAUUUUAAAACGAAAAUCAAAUAACCACUCGUUUUCUGUUUUUAAUCCCCGUUACUGAAAGGAAAAUCCAAUGACCAAAACAUACACGGACCGUCUUCCCACAAUCAUCCAUUAACGGUCGAUGCUCAGUAGACAGUGAAUACACCGACCUGUUUAAGGAACCUGUGUUGGACUAUCAGUGGAGAAAGACGGAGCAGCCAGAGUUAAAUAUUAUCUGAAGGUAGGUGCGCUCUCUCAGCACCAAACAGUAUCCAGAAAACCGUGUAGUAUUUUGGUAACGACCAAAGAAACUCUAAAAUACCGUCGCACAAACAUGGCAGACGGU